GGGUGAUUAGCUCAGCUGGUUCAGAGCACCUCGUUUACACCGAGGGGGUCGGGGGUUCGAACCCCUCAUUACCCACAA
rnacentral:tRNA from 2 species